rnacentral:rRNA from 1 species
UACGAAGGGGGGCUAGCGUUGCUCGGAAUCACUGGGCGUAAAGGGUGCGUAGGCGGGUUUUUAAGUCAGGGGUGAAAUCCUGGAGCUCAACUCCAGAACUGCCUUUGAUACUGAAGAUCUUGAGUUCGGGAGAGGUGAGUGGAACUGCGAGUGUAGAGGUGAAAUCCGUAGAUAUUCGGAAGAACACCAGUGGCGAAGGCGGCUCACUGGACUGGUAUUGACGCUGAGGUGCGAAAGCGUGGGGAGCAAACAGG